UUUUUUGUGAAUGCAAUGAGAUCUACCGGUCGAUCGCAUUCGACGCAUUGGGCACCCCUGGGCUAGAUCAUCUAAAUCUGACAUGUUGACUUUGUAUCUUAGUCCUCACCGUCUUUUGGAGUUUGGAGUAUCACCCUCAAAAAUUCUUUAGCUUGCGGUUUUGGAUUUAUGUACUCCACUCAAGAUAUGAGACCUGAAGUGUACAUUUGUACAUCACUGGAUAAGGUUGCAGUGAGAUAACGGUGAGAACUAUCGUGGAAGCCAACUUUGUGUAAUUGACCAAAUUCUUUAUAUCAUAAUAGGACAGAGGACUGUUUUUAUUGUUUAAAAUUCCAUAAGGUUGGCUUCAUAGUUUAUUUUUUAUUAACUAACGAUUUAAAAAGUUCCAAAUUAAAUAUUUUAAGAUUCCAUAUUGUUGCUAGCUUAAUCUAAGGCAGGGGCUCAGGUGCUGCAGCUGGACAGGGCACACGCUUUUAUACUGGAAACUUGGAAUCGGCAAUCAAUCCAACCUACACAUCUUUGAGGGACUGACGAGGGGAAAGGCUGAUGCAGACCUCACAGUGACAACGUAAUGGCACAGGAUUCAAACCAAGAAAGUAGGGCCAUUAAGUGUCAGUGCUAACCACCGUGCUACCAUGCUACCCUGAUUCCAUAUUAUAAUAAUUAAAACGUUCAGAUGUCCAGAAAAGUGGAUGCUUUUCAUACUUUCUCUGUUCCAGUAUAAAAAGUGUCUGUGUGAGUGUUUUAAAUUUCAAUUACAGGUUUUCUGUCUUAAUGAAUCAGUUGUCCCUAAAAAAGAAAGAAAACAUUUGCCGAACACUGCUGUAAUUAUGGAGCGAUUUUUUUUUUUUUUAAAUUGAGACAAUCCUGGCACCCAAAAAAGGCAGCAAGCACCUUUGUAGUCUGCUGUAGGUAAAUGGUAUGGCCUCCAGGGCUAUAAACCUUGAUGCAAGUCUGCCUGAAAAGAAGAAAAAAAGAUAAAACCUAACGGAGUCUAGUCAUAAGGCUGCGGCUUUUCUGUUGGUGUUUUCCCCUCACCUUAGACAUUAGGUGUGUUGAUUUAGAUGUUGUGUAUUUUAUUUAAAAAAAAACACCCAAGAAAAGUACUACUAUGCUAAUUUCCUUUGAACAGUUUUCAUAAACCUCUCCUCUUCAUCCAUGAAUAUCUUUCUUGCAGUACUUGGCUGAUUUUCCCCUUUUUAAAAAUAAAGUUUUUAGCUUGCUGUUAUCCAAUAAGUUGAGUUUUUUGCCUCUGGAUAACAAGUAUUGGGGAGUCUGGGCCCAAAUUCUGAUCUAUUUUUUCUUUGUUUUUAUUCCUAUCAGAAUCGGAAGGUGUCCUUCCACUUAAAGUCAACUUCCUAGUACUGCUCCGCAUCCUUUGAUGGCAGUGUCUUCAAACAAUAGUGCACUCUGUCACCCUGAAACUGCUACGUCUGCCACAUGCCAUGUCACUCCAAAUGAACUCGUGUGGCAAAAAGAUGGCACAGCUUUGAACACAAAGCAGGACCCGACCCUGGAUGAGAUGCAGAGGAGAUUCCAGGGAUUCUGUUGGCCCUCCAAUUCACCUUCUCCCACAUCCCGACGCGGAUUUGGCCACAGCAAAUGCAGCCACGAUGUCUCCUGUUUCCGAAGAUCUUUGAACGCUGCGCUCCAUUGAAAUUAGAGCUCGGGU